UAAUACAGAGACCCUCCCACCUGUAGCUCUUCAUCUCUCUGUUGUAACGUCACACAGACUGACAGCGACUCUGGUCUCAUUUAGCUCAGAACACAAUAAUGAUCACAGCUGGUCUGAUCAAACUCUCUGCAGCUCUGCUCUGGAUUGUAGGUUUUACUGAUGGGAGUGAUGUCACCCAGACCCCCCUGGUGUGGCUGGACGAGGGUCAGUCGGCCACAAUGAACUGCAGCCACACUAAGGAUGGUACCUUUUACCAGAUGUACUGGUACAGACAGCUACCAGGAGAGGGAAUGAAGCAAAUAGUUUUCACGCAACCAUCUUCCCCACAUCAAUACGAGAGCGGCUUCACUGAGGAGAAAUUUCCAGCAAAGAAGAGCGAUGCUCAGACUGGAUCUUUGUCAGUGGAGAGGCUGCAGCCUGAGGACAGUGGAGUGUAUUUCUGUGCUGUGAGUAAACACAGUGAUGCAGGCGACUCAGACAGCUGUACAAAUACCCAACUGUUGGUGUCACAGUGACUAUAAGACAUCAGUGUCUUUAAUUAUCUAUAGGGGGAGCUCUAGACCUGUAGACUGCCUUAAGAUUUUUGGUUUGUAUUCAGUUUUAUUUGUGACAAGUUGCUUUUACAGUACACUGGAGUGUAGCAACACGUGGCUAAUUUCUUUUUUUACAGCAGGGAUAAAGUCACAGUAAAUGUGAAAUGAAUACAGACAUUGUAUUUAAUACUAACACGUUUCCUGACAUGACUUGUAGAAGUCAGUGCUGUGUAGUAGUACUAUUUAUUUUCAGUCGAAAUCUUUUUGAUUUGCCUUUGUGACCCUUUCCAUACAGAACUGCACUGAUGGUUAACAAUGACUGAACUGUAUUCUGUGACUGUCUGAAUCUAGAAUAAAAACAUUUUAUCUAUAAACCACCAUCACCUCUGUGUUUACUGCCAAAGAUAAAGACUUACACCUGGAAGCAUCAGGACCCAAGAACAAUCACAAAUGUUUCAUUACACUC